UAGGGAAUCUUCCACAAUGGACGAAAGUCUGAUGGAGCAACGCCGCGUGAGUGAAGAAGGGUUUCGGCUCGUAAAACUCUGUUGUUAAAGAAGAACAUAUCUGAGAGUAACUGUUCAGGUAUUGACGGUAUUUAACCAGAAAGCCGCGGCUAACUACGUGACAG
rnacentral:rRNA from 1 species